CCCUUAGAUGUUCUGGGCCGCACGCGCGCUACACUGAUGCAGUCAACAAGUUUAUUUCCUGGGCUGAAAAGUUUGGGUAAUCUUUUGAAACUGCAUCGUGCUGGGGCUUGACGAUUGCAAUUAUUUGUCACAAACGAGGAAUUCCUAGUAAACGCAAGUCAUCAUCUUGCAUUGAUUACGUCCCUGCCCUUUGUACACACCGCCCGUCGCUCCUACCGAUUGAAUGUUCCGGUGAACACUUUGGAAUAGUUCUUAUGUGAGGGGAAACUCUUUGCUUGGAUACUGUGAAGUUGUGUAAACCUUAACAUUUAGAGGAAGGAGAAGUCGUAACA
rnacentral:rRNA from 1 species